AGAGAUUAACGUUUGCCUGUUCUUCCUGGAAGUCAGACAGCACUGUCAGUGACACAGACACAAAUGACAUUGCCCUGUUACCAUUAACACCCGUGGCUGUGCCACAGAAAUGUCACCUGGUUUAGCCUCACAGGUACAUACCUGCAUGGCCAGUACCCUGUGCAUUUCUAUGUAGUACCCCUUGGAGGACAGAGCAAUUAGUCCUGCUCAGUUCCAGCUGGGAAAAUUGGCAUGUGUGGCUCCAAAGGUGCAAGAGUUCCAAGAUAAUUAUAGCUACGCCCACUCUGUUCUGAGCUGAAUUUUAUAAAAUAAAGGAUAUUCAAAGGCAGUGGCCAUUGUUGCCCUGUCAAACUGAGUAUUCAAAUAUUUGAAUGAGCUAGAGAGCCCAGACCUUUUGGAAAUCUGUACCCAAGCCCACUGAAAAAAGACCUGCACUCACAGCUUCCUCAGCCUGUUUCUUGUAUGCUUUCACUUUUAACUGCAGCUUGUCCACCAGGUCCUGGAGCCGGAGAAUAUUUUUCUUAUCCUCUUCAGACUGUAGGAAGUGAAAAUCAUGUCAGCUUUGGAACAUGGACCGAGGUCAUCCACAUAAGAGGGCAGAGGAUUUGCAAUACCUGGUCUUUGCUUCUACUGCACAUUGAACAGUUUCUGAGACCUAUCUUGGAUGAGACUGCGAUCUCCUUCCUGUCUGGGCUGUAUUUUUCAGUUCCAAGUUCAUCCCCAACCUCAAAGCAUCAUUUCUGCUUCUGAUCUCAGCAUCCAGCGUGGUCUGCAUAGACUCUAAUACCCUCUGGUGAUUCCUCUUCAGCUGUUGAAUUUCCUCAUCUUUCUCUGCAGUCCUUCUAUCAAUAUCUGACUUCACCUGGUUCAGCUCCAGCUGAACACUUGCCUCUUCAGCUCUUCAAUCUGCUGAGUGAAAGCAUGUUUGCCUCGAGUCAACUGAGAAAUCAAGGACUCCUUCUCCUCCAGUUGCCGAGAAACAGGAGGGUGAUGAAUGACUGACAAAUUAUUUGGAAUGAUGGUCGGUUCUGAGACCUGCAAUACUCUUUAGUCCAUCAUGGGUCAUCUACCGCCACCACCUGCGACUCCUGGAACGCUUCCAUCAACGCUGCCUCCGAACAAUCCUAAACAUCCACUGGUCAGAUUAUGUGACUAAUACAUCUGUUCUAGAACAAGCAGCAGUCACAAGCAUUGAGGCCAUGUUACUGAGAACACAGCUGUGCUGGGCAGGGCACGUCUCCAGGAUGAAAGAUCACCGCCUCCCUAAGAUCUUGCUUUAUGGUAAACUUGCCACUGGCUGCCACAAGAGAGGAGCCCCAAAGAAAAGAUACAAGGACUCCCUGAAACAACAUCUCAGCCUUGGCCAUAUUGGUCAUCAUAACUGGUCUACUCUGGCCUCCAACUGGGAGGUCUGGAGACACACCAUCUAUAACACUGCCGUUUCCUUUGAGAACGCACGCAGGAUCACUC